rnacentral:misc_RNA from 1 species
GUGAAUCAUCAAAUUUUUGAACGCAAAUUGCACUCUCUGGUAUUCCGGAGAGUAUGCCUGUUUGAGGGUCAGUUAAAAUAAAAUUGGUGUUGUUGCCGCCCUUUGUGGUGAAGCGACGGAAUUGAGUUCUUUUUCCCUUCGUUAAGUGACUUUAAAUUUUUCAUGAUUUUUGUAGGAAUUUAUAAAUUUUUC